GCUGAUAUAGCUCAGUCGGUAGAGCGCAUCCUUGGUAAGGAUGAGGUCCCCAGUUCGACUCUGGGUAUCAGCACCA
rnacentral:tRNA from 9 species